UGUCACCUCCACCGUGCAUCAGUGAACUUUUGGCGCCCAUCACCCUGAUGUCAGUUCAUCAGUUGUCCUUCCUUGCAUCGCUUUUGGUAGUUACUAACCACUGCAUACUGGGAACACCUCACAAGACUGUUUUGGAGAUUUGGACCUUGUCAAAGAUCUUUUCGCUUGCCCAUUUUUAUUGCUUUCAGCACUGACAGUUCCCUUGCUGGCUUAUAUAUAUAUGCAUAAAAGUUUUAGAAAUGAGAUCGAAUGCUCCAGAGCUUCAGAAAAGCAAUUUGUUUUAAGUAGGCAAGAUUUUUUUUUUUUCUAAAAUCAUUUCUGAAUCAUCAGAUACGGUAAAUAAAAGUGUUAGUUCACCCAAAAAUAAAAACCAGUCCAUAAGUUACGCACCCUCAAGUCAACCUUCUUCUUUCAGACGAAUUCAACGCCAACCUCAUUUGUCAUCCGGAACUGCUUCAGUGUACAACUGUUGGCACAAGCUACAGUAUGUUAAACUCGCAGGAACACCAUAAGGCCUGGGCUGGAUACCAAGCUUCGAGCUGAAUGCCUCCGGAUGCCUAACUGAUGCGUCAGCGUGGGAAAUGAGAUGAAGGGGCAGACGUCCCCUGCUUCAUCAUGCUCCUCAUCCUCCUCCUCCCCCAAUAUGCUCGAGAUAGCUGGAGCUACACUCAUAAGCAGAGGCAGAUACUGGAGAUGGUUGCAAGGUGGUGCGCAGGUGUCUCAGACUCCAUGUUGAAUGCUUUGGAAAUUGUGCCUCGAGGAGCAAGUUAGAAAAUGGAAAUGGACCAUCCCAUCCAACUUCUCUCACUAUCUGACUACCUCAUGCCAGAACCUGCACAUGGAGCGAGUGUCAGGUCAGUAAAAUCAUAAGACAAACACAAUUACAUGGUUUAUUGAAACAAUAGGUGUAAUUAUAAAGGAUUUGUAUAUCAGUCUUUGUAAUUUAAUUGCAAGAAUUAUGUUCAGCUAGAUCCAUGAUCAUCCAGCCAUACUUCAGUCAUUCGUUUCAGUGGAAUUUUUUUUCUUUAAUCUGCUACAAUGUAAAGUAGGCUUUGCAAGUAGAAAGUGGAAAAU
rnacentral:lncRNA from 1 species